AUUUUUUUUAUUAAUAAGGAGAGUUUGGUGGCAGUGGGUUUAAGGAAAGUUAUUUGUUGAGUGGUUUUCACUUUUCAGGGGGUUUUUGGUUGAUCAGACAAAAGGGGUUUUUAGGUCUGCAUACUCAAGCUAGCCAGCUUGUUUUAUUUAAUGAGUUCCUCUUUUUGUAAUGAAUGCAUGAGAUAUGGUGUUGCAGAGGAGGUUGGGUUAUGGUUUCAGUGGCUAUGAGGUGCCUGUGGUUCCUCGUGCAUCUAGAUCAGCUAGGGGGAGGGUACCAGUUAGGAAGAAGUAUGAGGACAAUGCGGUACGCGCUUUUGAAAUUUUGGCUAGUGUAGCUGGUGAAUUAUUGCAAGAGACUGGAAGUUCUGCUCCUAAAGCUGCUUGUGGCGAGGUUCAGAAAAAUAUUGAUGAAUGUAUUGUGGAAUGGGAACAACAAGAUGGAGAUAAAUGUUUAAAGGCAAACCUACACGAGCUAGGAACUUGUGCGGAGAAUACUUUUAUCCAUGUUCCUGGACUGCAAGGGCCCCAUCAAAGCUAUUCAGCAAAUGAGUUUUCACAUUCUCCAGGAAAUUUCACUUUGAAAAUUAACUCAAGGUCAAAAAUCUUUGAUCAGUCGGAGAAAAAUUGUUUUUCUGAACACUGGCCCCAUUUUAAUGACAGUAAUGCAAGCAGAAGCCGUUCUGGCAUUGUAGGUCAAGUCUCCCCCCAUUUCAGGAAAAUUUUCAGAGGCCAUGUGGAUAGUGAAAUUGAAACGAAGUGUGAAGGAAAACUAUCCAUUGCUCAAAAUAGACAGGCAGACAAGGUCUGUUCUGCUCAACAGUGGUCAUACUUCAGCAAAAGGAGUGCAAGUCGGGGUCCUUUUGGCAAAUUAGGUGAAGAUGCCUCGAGAGGAAGUAAACCUCCUUCACUGGGCAGUCCUGAAAGUAAUUUAAGGGCAUCUUUGUUUAUGGGCUGUACAACUUUUGGACCUUUUUCUGGGAGCUGUGCUGAUUUACAAGUAGAUACGAGAGAUGAUGAAGAAACUUCUCUUGGGUACACUCAAUUUGGUAAGAUUGUGACAGCCUGUAAGCCCUUAGCUACUGUUGUAGAUCAAAGAGUGAGGAAUCUAUCUGCAGCCAGACAUUGGAGAGUAGCUCCAAAGUUGAAAGGGGGAGCUUAUUCUAAAACUGAUUGGAAAAGGAAACAGGUUUACUACUAUGGUAAACCUUGUUAUACACGUCAAAGAUCUCAAAGGAUUUCUCCUUUCAAGAGGAGAAAGUUGUUUGAUCAAAUCCCUACUUCCAGAUAUGGAGAGUUUCAACGUGAAGGCAUUUAUAAUUCUCCUUACAAGAGAAGCAAUGUUGACAAGCGUUUUGCAGCAAAAGGGGCAUCACCCUCAGUAGCAUCUCAACAAGCACCUCCCAAGUCUAAGUCUAGAGAUAGUAUUGUGAAACUUCAUAUCAAAUCUUUCAAGAUUCCAGAACUUUUUAUUGAGAUUCCUGCAACUGCAACUGUUGGUUCACUGAAGAGAACGGUCAUGGAGGCAGCAACGGCAAUUCUUGGAGAUGAUCUACAUGUUGGUAUCCUUCUUCAGGGAAAGACAGUAAGAGAUGACAGUAAAACUCUACUUCAGACUGGGAUAUGUCAUGAUGGCAGACAUUGUAAUUUAGGUUUUAUGUUGGAGCCCAAAAGUGCACAAAUUAUGCCGCCUUUGCACACUGAUGACUCUCGCUUGUUAUCUAGUGGCAUGCCUCAGGAUCCAACUGGGCAUUCAGUGUCAUUGACUCCACAACCGGAGCCUUCUGAUGUCUCUCCACUACCUCCAGUGAUGAAUAUGGGUUGUCAUGUUGACAAUAACGUUAAUGCUCUUUGUUCUCUUGCUGAUAUUUCAACCAACAAUACCAUGCCAGAUUCCCAAGCUCUAGUUGCAGUACCAGCAAUUACUAUGGAGGCAUUGGCCGUGGUUCCAUUUCAUCAAAAAUCUAGGCAUUCUGAGUUUUUGCAGCGCCGGACUAGAAGACCUUUCUCUGUUUCAGAAGUAGAAGCACUAGUUCAGGCAGUUGAGAAACUUGGAACUGGAAGGUGGCGUGAUGUUAAGUUACGUGCUUUUGACAAUGCAAAACAUCGUACUUAUGUUGAUUUGAAGGAUAAGUGGAAGACAUUGGUGCACACGGCAAGAAUUUCGCCCCAACAAAGGAGAGGAGAACCUUUACCACAGCAGCUCUUAGACAGGGUCCUCGCCGCCCGCGCCUACUGGUCCCAACACCAGGCCUAUCAACAGUUGAAAAUACCAGUUUAAGGCUUUGCCUUGUUCAUGGGUGUAUAGUAAAGCUGCCCCACCUGUGGUGAUGAGCAAUAAUUCUGACUGACAAUUGAAACGGUGCAAUGCAUUUGUCCAAGAAUUCGGAUACGAUUUUUCUUAAUAUUCUUCAUGGUCAUUGGUUUCUAUCUAUAACAAGUGCGCACGAUGGAGAUCUAAGGUGGUAUUCACAUUCUGCUGCAUCAGUCAAAGCAUAAUAUCAAAAACAAUAAAGUAUUAUAUAUAUAAUAGAUCUGCCGACCCAAAAUCAUGAAAAGGAUUCUGCAGCAGCUUUUAUGUCUCCAUAACAUUGGACGAAAAUGAAUAUUUUUAUAUUUAUGCUGUGGAAGCAUGUGGAGAAACUUAUAAUGUUAUUGUUAGUCGUUGCAGUUGCAGUUGCAGUUGCAGGUGGUGGCCUCCUGUGAUCUUCUUCUCAAAUCUCAACCCUUUUUCUUUUUCUUCUUCUGCUGUUUAACGGGUUUUCAACUAUUUCUCCCUCAAGGUUAGGGGAAAAUGUAACGCACUUAUAGGGCGUUUGGUUUAGGAAUGUUAGAUUACUAGAAAUAUUAGAUUACUGAAAAGAUAGAUUACCUUGGAAGAUUACU